rnacentral:rRNA from 1 species
AGCUUGCUCUUGGAUUAGUGGCGAACGGGUGAGUAACACGUGAGUAACCUGCCCUUGACUCUGGGAUAAGCCUGGGAAACUGGGUCUAAUACCGGAUAUUCACUUUUCACCGCAUGGUGGGGGGUGGAAAGCUUUUGUGGUUUUGGAUGGACUCGCGGCCUAUCAGCUUGUUGGUGGGGUAAUGGCCUACCAAGGCGACGACGGGUAGCCGGCCUGAGAGGGUGACCGGCCACACUGGGACUGAGACACGGCCCAGACUCCUACGGGAGGCAGCAGUGGGGAAUAUUGCACAAUGGGCGAAAGCCUGAUGCAGCGACGCCGCGUGAGGGAUGACGGCCUUCGGGUUGUAAACCUCUUUCAGUAGGGAACAAGGCCAUACGUUGUGUGGUUGAGGGUACUUGCAGAAGAAGCGCCGGCUAACUACGUGCCAGCAGCCGCGGUAAUACGUAGGGCGCAAGCGUUAUCCGGAAUUAUUGGGCGUAAAGAGCUCGUAGGCGGUUUGUCGCGUCUGCCGUGAAAGUCCGGGGCUCAACUCCGGAUCUGCGGUGGGUACGGGCAGACUAGAGUGCAGUAGGGGAGACUGGAAUUCCUGGUGUAGCGGUGAAAUGCGCAGAUAUCAGGAGGAACACCGAUGGCGAAGGCAGGUCUCUGGGCUGUAACUGACGCUGAGGAGCGAAA